AGGCUCGGCGGCUCCGAAUAGGGGUCUGCAGUGCACACAAAGAUGUCGACGCAAGGUAGCCUUUCUCCGUGCCUUGUCCAAAUGACAAAUUAACCGUGUUAAUGCUGAGCAUGACAAAUAUAUGUGUGAAUAUGGUGAAGUACAUCAAAACAGGUCCCUGGUUAACUGGUUUUUAAAUCCAGUUUUGCUGCCGGGAGAUGCAAAGUGCUCUGGUUUGGGACGAUGGGACCGUGUACCUGUCAGCUGAUGAGUCCCGGAGCUUGGACCAAACCAGCCAACCGUACUGAAAUUUAAAUUCUGCAGCGUGUUCAGCGCUGAUUUCGACCUGGUGGGUGGUAUGCGCCAUUCAGUCGUACCCCAGACUUGUUAAAUGCAUUU
rnacentral:lncRNA from 1 species